ensembl:lncRNA
GAGAGGUCUUGACUGGAUGUCAGGAAGACUUUCUUCACAGAAGGGUGCUUAGGUGAUAGAGAACCCUGAGAUAACAGCCACAAGACUGAAACCUAUGGAAGCUGUGCGCAAAUGAUUUUCAGAGCAUCAUCCUUUGAUUAUAGAGCUCAAGCCUAAGGUCUUUUCAUCACAAUGUUGUAGACAAGUUCAAAGUCAGGGAUUUUAUUGUAAGCACGCUUUCCAAUACUACCUUUCUGAGAAUUACCACUUUAAUUAGCAGAAGGAAAAACAAGGCUGAGUUCAUAAGAGGACAUGAAGUAAAAUGAUGCUCCUUUGAAUUGACAGUGAAAUGGGUGAGAAACCAAGGUGAAGAGUAUACCCUGCCAAGCUGAAGAGUUGAGGCAAUCCCACUGGUUUAUCACAAGAUAUUUCUGGCACUUAGCAAGUUUCAGAUUAACAGUGUGAAAGAUUAUGUCUGGGGGGAAGAGUAGUCUGAAUACACAGUGUCUCACACACACUUCAUGAACCUUGUAGCUUGAGAAUGUUGUUAUAGUGCUGGCAGUAUUUGAAAAUGAACAAUGCCAUUAACACUUUAUCUGGUCCUAUGCACCAGAGUGUUAAAAUCUUGUUACAGUCUAUCAUCUGGUGCUGCACAUACUCUGAAAACAUUGCCAUGACACUUGAGUAGGAAGAAAGCCUUACUAAGGAAUUCAGUAUUGAUUCUUGAGAGAAAACAAGAAGCUUGUGUGGCAAUUAACUAUAUUUUCAGUGGUUCAAAUCUAAACCAUAAUUCAAGAUGCUCAAAGCUGGAAGCAUUUAGAAGGCAUUCUUGUUUUUGCUGGUAGACCCCCUCAGACACCAGCAUCUGGGAAGUGUCCCACAGAAGGAGCAUGCUUUGAAAGAGAUUGGUGAGAAUGCUAAAUGGAUAUGUAAUAAAGCAAAUGUCCUGUUUACCUAAUUUUCAAUUAUUCUUAACAUUCAAACAAAAGUCUUGAAUUAGAUCAGGUUUCUCAAAAUAUUGAGGAAAAAUCUUCUUUGGUAAGAUCUUAAGUGUUGAUUAGACAUGCUACUUUAGCUGAAUGCCAGUCAGUCAGAGUAAAUGUUCUGUAACUUUCUAGUAGAUCCUGAUGAUUCCAUAGGACUGGACACUGUGUUUUUAGCAGUGAAGAAAAAAACAGUGAGCAGCAACUUCCUGACCUUCAUCAGACUUCUUCAUUUGUUUUAAAGACUAUGAUUAAUUUCAAAGUUUUCAAAAGAAAGCAGAAUUACAAACAUUUUGAAGUUAACAAGAGCCUGCUUUUCUGCAUCUGUGAAAGCCUAUGAGCAUCUGUCUGUUCAAUGAUUUGUAAGAUGAUACAUAAUAAAAUGAAGAUAGCAACUGUAUGUACGCCUUCUUCCAGGUGCUGAAAUUUACCUCUCAGUUAAUGCUUACAUUUUCAUUCUCUCCCCAUACAGACAAUUGCCUG